UACGAACCGUGCGAACGUUGUUCGGAAUCACUGGGCUUAAAGGGCGCGUAGGCGGGCGGCCGCGUCCGGGGUGAAAUCCCACGGCUCAACCGUGGAACGGCCUCGGAUACGGGCGGCCUCGAGGGGGGUAGGGGCAUCUGGAACUGUGAGUGGAGCGGUGAAAUGCGUUGAUAUUCACAGGAACUCCGGUGGCGAAGGCGAGGUGCUGGACCCCAUCUGACGCUGAGGCGCGAAAGCCAGGGGAGCGAACGGG
rnacentral:rRNA from 1 species